AGGUGGGUGAUAUGAACAGGCCUGGAGGUUGGGUAGGUGGUGUUGAUAUGAACAUGCCUGGAGGUUGGGUAGGUGGUUGAUAUGAACAUGCCUGGAGGUUGGGUAGGUGGUGAUAUGAACAGGCCUGGAGGUUGGGUAGAGGUGAUAUGAACUGCCUGGAGGUUGGGUAGGAGGUGAUAUGAACAGGCCUGGAGGUUGGGUAGGAGGUGAUAUGAACAUGCCUGGAGGUUGGGUAGGAGGUGAUAUGAACAUGCCUGGGUUGGGUAGGAGGUGAUAUGAACAUGCCUGGAGGGUUGGUUAGGAGGUGAUAUGAACAUGCCUGGAGGUUGGGUAGGAGUGAUAUGAACAUGCCUGGAGGUUGGGUAGGAGGUGAUAUGAACAUGCUGGAGGUUGGGAGGAGGUGAUAUGAACAUGCCUGGAGUGGAGGUGUGCGGCUGAGGUUGGUAGGAGGUUAUUGAACAUGCCUGGAGUUUGGGUAGAGGUGAUAUGAACAUGCCUGGAGGUUGGGUAGGAGGUGAUAUGAACAUGUCUGGAGGUUGGGUAGGAGUGAUAUGAACAUGUCUGGAGGUUGGGUAGGAUGUGAUAUGAACAUGCCUGGAGGUUGGGUAGGAGGUGAUAUGAACAUGCCUGGAGUUGGGUAGUGAGGUGAUAUGAACAUGCUGGAGGUUGGGUAGGAGGUGAUAUAUGCCUGGAGUUGGGUAGAGGUUGCAUGUCGGGUUGGGUAGUGUUGAUAUGAACAUGCCUGGAGGUUGGGUAGGGGUUUUGAUAUGAACAUGCCUGGAGGUUGGGUAGGUGGUGUUGAUAUGAACAUGCCUGGAGGUUGGGUAGUGGUGUUGAUAUGAACAUGCCUGGAGGUGGGUAGGUGGUGAUAUGAACAUGCCUGGGUUGGGUAGGGGGGUGAUAUGAACAGCCUGAGGGGUUGGGUAGGAGGUGAUAUGAACACUGAGGUUGGGUAGGAGAUAAUAUGAACAUGUCUGGAGGUUGGGUAGGUGUUGAUAUGAACAUGCCUGGAGGUUGGGUAGGUGGUGUUGAUAUGAACAUGCCUGGAGGUUGGGUAGGUGGUGGUGAUAUGAACAUGCCUGGAGGUUGGGUAGGAGGUGAAUAGGAACAUGUCUGGGGUUGGGUAUGUUGUGAUAUGAACAUGCCUGAGGUUGGGUAGGUGGUGUGAUUGAACAUGCCUGGAGGUUGGGUAGGUGGUGUUGAUAUAGACAUGCUGGAGUUGGGUAGGUGGUGGAUAUGAACAUGCGGUGGUAGUGGGUGGAUAUGAACGGCCUGGAGGUUGGGUAGGAGGUGAUAUGAACAUGCCUGGAGGUUGGGUAGGAGGUGAAUAUGAAACAUGUCUGGAGGUUGGGUAGGGGGAUAUGAACAUGCCUGGAGGUUGGGUAGGAUGUGAUAUGAACAGGCCUGGAGGUUGGGUAGGAGGGUGAUAUAAACAUGCCCUGGAGGUUUGGGAGGAUGUGAUGUGAACAUGUCUGGAGGUUGCGGUGGAGGUGAUGUGAACAUGCCUGGAGGUUGGGUAGA
rnacentral:lncRNA from 1 species